GCAGAUGUCCCAAACUGGACACUGAUAGAAACAACUGGAUGAUGCAUAGCCAGUACAUGCUGAUCUUCCAAGAUGUGGAUACAACAAAUGCACCCAACAGUACGUGGUGAAAACAGUAGAUGCACCCAAAAGGACCUGAUAGAAACAACUGGAGGAUGAAUAGCCAAAGGAUGCUGAUGAUCCCGAUCUGACAUUUAGCUGAGCUGCAGCUAACAGAACUUUGUGAAAGCAAUUGGAAUAGACAAGCUUGAUGAACCUCUUUUAAGAUGGGAAAACAGCAAAUACCUUCAAAAGGACUUAGUGAAAAAAUCUUGAGGAGGCACGGCCAUUAUGAAUCUUGAGUCGAACUUGAUGGACAUUGUUUUUCCAAUAUGUGAAAACACCAGCUACACCCAAAAGGAAUUGGUGGAAACAAUGAACACAGAUAAGCCUGAUGGACAAUGAUCUUCAAAAUGUGGAAACCACAAGAUGCCCCCAACAAGACUUAAAGGAAACACCUGGAGGACAAUGCCUGAUGGAUGUUGACUUUUCCACCCAGACCUACCACUGGAGAUAGCUGACACUGAUCAGAAAAUCAAAGAAACUUUAGAAGGAACAUCCUAAGUGAGAUGAUAUGUGUGGAUGCAGAAGUAGGACUUAAUUGAUGCAGGAUUAAUCCACAUCUUCAAAGCACUGAUCUAAAUGCAAUCUAGUAACAAUGUUUUUUUCAAAGACUAUUUUUAAAAUAUUUUUGUAAAGGGUGUCCGAAUUAUGUCAGGGUAUGGGGUCGCCCAUUCGGACACGUGGGUUCUCUACGGGUACUCCGUCUUCCUCCCACACUGACCCCCCGCUUUUCUCUUUCUUCAUUAUUAUGCCAAUGAGAUGAUAGUUCAUUAUUGUAAUUGUUUAGAUGAAGUUAAAUAUGUUGCAGAUGUAAUGAUUGUUAAAUAUGACAUAAGUAUUCACAGAAUGUGUAAAUUCUGUCAGCUGUUGUAAAAAGAAUAAUUUGUAUAGUCACCAUUUCGUUAUUAGCUUAUAGUGAAAUCCAAUCCAUUAUAUACUGAUAUGACUUUAUUAUGCAGUGAAAGAAAUGAAUAUAAAAUUGUAAAAUUGCAUUUGAAAAUGUAAAAUAGUGAAUUGCCUCUAAAAAUGUUAAAUUGUGAUUUGUUAAUGUUAAAUCAUUGAUUUAAAAUGUUAAAUUGUGAUUUUU